UACUAAGUUAACCUAAGCUAGUGUGUCU
rnacentral:sRNA from 1 species